rnacentral:rRNA from 1 species
GGAAUCUUGCGCAAUGGGCGAAAGCCUGACGCAGCAACGCCGCGUGCGGGAAGAAGGCUUUAGGGUUGUAAACCGCUUUCAGCAGGGAAGAAAAUGACGGUACCUGCAGAAGAAGGUGCGGCCAACUACGUGCCAGCAGCCGCGGUGACACGUAGGCACCAAGCGUUGUCCGGAUUUAUUGGGCGUAAAGAGCUCGUAGGCGGUUCAGUAAGUCGGGUGUGAAAACUCUGGGCUUAACCCAGAGCCGCCACCCGAUACUGCUGUGACUUGAGUCCGGUAGGGGAGCGGGGAAUUCCUGGUGUAGCGGUGAAAUGCGCGGAUAUCAGGAGGAACACCGGUGGCGAAGGCGCCGCUCUGGGCCGAGACUGACGCUGAGGAGCGAAAGCAUGGGUAGCAAACAGGAUUAGAUACCCUGGUAGUCCAUGCCGUAAACGUUGGGCACUAGGUGUGGGCAUCAACCAACGAUGUCCGCGCCGUCGCUAACGCAUUAAGUGCCCCGCCUGGGGAGUACGGUCGCAAGACUAAAACUCAAAUGAAUUGACGG